rnacentral:rRNA from 1 species
UGAUACGUAGGGUGCGAGCGUUGUCCGGAUUUAUUGGGCGUAAAGGGCUCGUAGGUGGUUUGUUGCGUCGGAAGUGAAAACCUGCAGCUUAACUGUGGGCUUGCUUUCGAUACGGGCAGACUUGAGGAAGGUAGGGGAGAACGGAAUUCCUGGUGGAGCGGUGGAAUGCGCAGAUAUCAGGAGGAACACCGGUGGCGAAGGCGGUUCUCUGGACCUUUCCUGACGCUGAGGAGCGAAAGCGUGGGGAGCAAACAGG